rnacentral:rRNA from 1 species
UUGAACGCUGGCGGAAUGCUUUACACAUGCAAGUCGAACGGCAGCACGGGGGCAACCUUGGUGGCGAGUGGCGAACGGGUGAGUAAUGUAUCGGAACGUACCUAGUCGUGGGGGAUAACUAUCCGAAAGGAUAGCUAAUACCGCAUACGUCCUGAGGGAGAAAGCGGGGGAUCGCAAGACCUCGCGCGAUUGGAGCGGCCGAUAUCGGAUUAGCUAGUUGGUGAGGUAAAGGCUCACCAAGGCGACGAUCCGUAGCGGGUCUGAGAGGAUGAUCCGUCACACUGGAACUGAGACACGGUCCAGACUCCUACGGGAGGCAGCAGUGGGGAAUUUUGGACAAUGGGGGCAACCCUGAUCCAGCCAUUCCGCGUGAGUGAAGAAGGCCUUCGGGUUGUAAAGCUCUUUCAGCCGGAACGAAACGGUACGCUCUAACAUAGCGUGCUAAUGACGGUACCGGCAGAAGAGGCACCGGCUAACUACGU